rnacentral:rRNA from 1 species
GAGUUUGAUCCUGGCCAGGACGAACGCUGGCGGCGUGCUUAACACAUGCAAGUCGAGCGGUAAGGCCCUUCGGGGUACACGAGCGGCGAACGGGUGAGUAACACGUGGGUAACCUGCCCUGUACUCUGGGAUAAGCCUUGGAAACGAGGUCUAAUACCGGAUACGACACUGAAUCGCAUGAUUUGGUGUGGAAAGUUCCGGCGGUAUGGGAUGGACCCGCGGCCUAUCAGCUUGUUGGUGGGGUAAUGGCCUACCAAGGCGACGACGGGUAGCCGGCCUGAGAGGGUGACCGGCCACACUGGGACUGAGACACGGCCCAGACUCCUACGGGAGGCAGCAGUGGGGAAUAUUGCACAAUGGGCGAAAGCCUGAUGCAGCGACGCCGCGUGAGGGAUGACGGCCUUCGGGUUGUAAACCUCUUUCAGCAGGGAGGAAGCGCAAGUGACGGUACCUGCAGAAGAAGCACCGGCUGACUACGUGCCAGCAGCGCGGUAA